UGCUAAUGUUGCAUAGUGGAAUAAGGG
rnacentral:piRNA from 1 species